AUGGGUUGGAUUUGAUGUUUUGUUUUUUGUGGCUAAAAUAACCUAUUUUGUUUUUUGUGGCUAUUUUAGCCAAAAAAGCCUGGGCUUUUUCUUGCCAAACGGAGGCUGAUUUCAACUUGACUUUUGUUAAAUGGAAAACCCAGAAAUUAUGUGUAUCAAAAGAUGAGAAUAAAUAUCCACAGGAUUAUAUCAGAGAGAUGAGAGAGAAAGAGAGCGAGUUCUUCUGAUCCUGUUCCCUCUCCUCUUCUCCAUAUCUCCCUCAAUCUCCAUUCUCUUCCCUCAAACCCCCACCGGUCCCCCCCACCCCCUCUCUCUCUCUCUAGAAAUCACACACAACAGCCUUGGUCCAAUUCACAACUCUCUCAAUCAAUCAAUCCAAGCAAGCCCCACUCAAAAAAGGCAUGGUACGAUGCUUCAAUCCCGUCGAAUUUGAAGG